rnacentral:rRNA from 1 species
GUGAGGAAUAUUGGUCAAUGGGCGGGAGCCUGAACCAGCCAAGUCGCGUGAAGGAAGAAGGAUCUAUGGUUCGUAAACUUCUUUUGCAGGGGAAUAAAGUGCAGGACGUGUCCUGUUUUGUAUGUACCCUGAGAAUAAGGAUCGGCUAACUCCGUGCCAGCAGCCGCGGUAAUACGGAGGAUCCGAGCGUUAUCCGGAUUUAUUGGGUUUAAAGGGUGCGUAGGUGGUUUGAUAAGUCAGCGGUGAAAGUUUGCAGCUUAACUGUAAAAAUGCCGUUGAAACUGUCGGACUUGAGUGUAAAUGAGGUAGGCGGAAUGCGUGGUGUAGCGGUGAAAUGCAUAGAUAUCACGCAGAAUUCCGAUUGCGAAGGCAGCUUACUAAGCUACAACUGACACUGAAGCACGAAAGCGUGGGGAUCAAACAGGAUUAGAUACCCUUGUAGUCC